GAAGGAGAAACAUAUAAAAAAUUUAGUUACAUGUAUAUUGACUCGAUCACGCCACUCUGGGUGUAACUCUUUGGGAAACCCUUUUUCAGAUCUAAAAUUCAUCGAAGAACAACUUCAAGUUAUAGAACGAAAAUUACCCUCACGUUUUUGCAGAUUCAGAUUUCCUAUAUCGUUCUAUAAAGGUCUCCUUGUACAAAAGUUGAAAGGCAAUAAUUUCUCGAACAAGAAAUAUUCAAGUCGUCACUUGUGGACAAACUCCUAUCUGUGUUAUUAUGAAUUGAAAAUUGUUCAAAGGGUCUACGGAAAAAAAUAAAAAGUUUAUGGAAAACAUAUGUGUAAUAAAGUUAUAAAUUGUAAUAGCUUUUAACUGAUGUGUGCGGUUGGAAAAAAGAAUAAAAACAUCUCAAUUUUU